rnacentral:rRNA from 1 species
AUUGAACGCUGGCGGCAUGCCUUACACAUGCAAGUCGAACGGUAACAGGUCUUCGGAUGCUGACGAGUGGCGAACGGGUGAGUAAUACAUCGGAACGUGCCCGAUCGUGGGGGAUAACGGAGCGAAAGCUUUGCUAAUACCGCAUAGGAUCUACGGAUGAAAGCAGGGGACAGCAAGGCCUGGCGCAGACGGAGCGGCCGGUGGCAGAUUAGGGAGUUGGUGGGAUAAAAGCUUACCAAGCCGACGAUCUGUAGCUGGUCUGGGAGGACGACCAGCCACACUGGGACUGAGACACGGCCCAGACUCCUACGGGAGGCAGCAGUGGGGAAUUUUGGACAAUGGGCGCAAGCCUGAUCCAGCCAUGCCGCGUGCAGGAUGAAGGCCUUCGGGUUGUAAACUGCUUUUGUACGGAACGAAAAGACUCUGGUUAAUACCUGGGGUCCAUGACGGUACCGUAAGAAUAAGCACCGGCUAACUACGUGCCAGCAGCCGCAGUAACAC